UAAGAACAAGAAAGGAGGUCUGUGUCGUCAUCCUGGACCUCCUACAGUACCCUUGAGCACCAACUAUGCCCCCAGCAUUCAGAGAGGCUGCAUCCUUGGAAUCUGGGAGAGGCGUAUUAUCAGUGUCCCUCAACACUGACCGGAGGUCGGAAAACUCAAGUGGAGGCAGUUUGCAAGCGCCGUGCCUGGCGCUCAGGUGCUCUCCAAGGCCGCAGAGCUGCGGCGCACAGCUCCGCGAG
rnacentral:lncRNA from 1 species